rnacentral:rRNA from 1 species
CACGCCGUAAACGAUGGAUGCUAGGUGUGGGAGGUAUCGACCCCUUCCGUGCCGUAGUUAACGCAAUAAGCAUCCCGCCUGGGGAGUACGGUCGCAAGACUGAAACUCAAAGGAAUUGACGGGGGCCCGCACAAGCAGCGGAGCGUGUGGUUUAAUUCGAAGCUACGCGAAGAACCUUACCAAGGCUUGACAUCCCUCGCGAGUCUGUGAAAGCAGAUGUUCCCUUCGGGGACGAGGAGACAGGUGG